rnacentral:rRNA from 1 species
AUGAACGCUGGCGGCGUGCCUAAUACAUGCAAGUCGAGCGAACAGACGAGGAGCUUGCUCCUUUGACGUUAGCGGCGGACGGGUGAGUAACACGUAGGUAACCUACCUAUAAGACUGGGAUAACUUCGGGAAACCGGAGCUAAUACCGGAUAAUAUUUCGAACCGCAUGGUUCGAUAGUGAAAGAUGGCUUUGCUAUCACUUAUAGAUGGACCUGCGCCGUAUUAGCUAGUUGGUAAGGUAACGGCUUACCAAGGCAACGAUACGUAGCCGACCUGAGAGGGUGAUAGGCCACACUGGAACUGAGACACGGUCCAGACUCCUACGGGAGGCAGCAGUAGGGAAUCUUCCGCAAUGGGCGAAAGCCUGACGGAGCAACGCCGCGUGAGUGAUGAAGGUCUUCGGAUCGUAAAACUCUGUUAUUAGGGAAGAACAAACGUGUAAGUAACUGUGCACGUCUUGACGGUACCUAAUCAGAAAGCCACGGCUAACUACGUG